AGAGUUUGAUCAUGGCUCAGGAUGAACAUUGGCGGCAUGCUUAACACAUGCAAGUCGCACGCAUCUUCGGAUGAGUGGCGUACGGGUGCGUAACACGUAGGUAACCUGCCCUGAAGUGGGGAAUAACCACGAGAAAUCGUGGCUAAUACCGCAUAGUCUCCGCGAGGAGUAAAGCAGUAAUGCGCUUUAGGAGGGGCCUGCGGCCUAUCAGCUAGUUGGUGGGGUAAAAGCCUACCAAGGCAACGACGGGUAGCUGGUCUGAGAGGAUGGUCAGCCACAGGGGGACUGAGACACGGCCCGACUCCUAAGGGGGGGAGCAGGGAGGGAUAUUGGGCAAAGGGGGGAAGCCCGAACCAGGAAAGCCGGGUGGGGGAAGGAAGGCCUCGGAUCGUAAACCGCUUUUGUGGGGGAGUAGCAAGGAGAGUACCCCACGAAUAAGUCACGGCUAACUACGUGCCAGCCGCCGCGGUAAUUC
rnacentral:rRNA from 1 species